rnacentral:rRNA from 1 species
UACGGAGGGUGCAAGCGUUAAUCGGAAUUACUGGGCGUAAAGCGCACGUAGGCGGUAAGUUAAGCCAGCUGUGAAAUCCCCGGGCUCAACCUGGGAAUUGCAGUUGGAACUGGCUUGCUAGAGUAGGAUAGAGGGGUGUGGAAUUUCAGGUGUAGCGGUGAAAUGCGUAGAUAUCUGAAGGAACAUCAGUGGCGAAGGCGACACCCUGGAUUCAUACUGACGCUGAGGUGCGAAAGCGUGGGGAGCAAAC